rnacentral:rRNA from 1 species
UACGGGGGGGGCAAGCGUUGUUCGGAAUUACUGGGCGUAAAGGGCUCGUAGGCGGCCAAGUAAGUCAGACGUGAAAUCCCUCGGCUUAACCGGGGAACUGCGUCUGAUACUGGAUGGCUUGAGUUCGGGAGAGGGAUGCGGAAUUCCAGGUGUAGCGGUGAAAUGCGUAGAGAUCCGGAGGAACCCCAGAGGCGAAGGCGGCGCCCUGGCUCGCAACUGACGCUCAGACACGACAGCAUGGGGAGCGAACGGG